rnacentral:rRNA from 1 species
GAUGAACGCUGGCGGCGUGCUUAACACAUGCAAGUCGAACGGAAAGGCCCAAGCUUGCUUGGGUACUCGAGUGGCGAACGGGUGAGUAACACGUGGGUGAUCUGCCCUGCACUUCGGGAUAAGCCUGGGAAACUGGGUCUAAUACCGGAUAGGACCACUUCUUGGAUGUUGUGGUGGAAAGUUUUUUCGGUGUGGGAUGAGCUCGCGGCCUAUCAGCUUGUUGGUGGGGUAAUGGCCUACCAAGGCGUCGACGGGUAGCCGGCCUGAGAGGGUGUACGGCCACAUUGGGACUGAGAUACGGCCCAGACUCCUACGGGAGCAGCAGUGGGGAAUAUUGCACAAUGGGCGCAAGCCUGAUGCAGCGACGCCGCGUGGGGGAUGACGGCCUUCGGGUUGUAAACUCCUUUCGCUAGGGACGAAGCGUUUUGUGACGGUACCUGGAGAAGAAGCACCGGCUAACUACGUG